AUGGAGGGAGAGGGUAUGGAGUUUCUACUCGACGCCGUUGACAGGUUCCCGGUGCGCGAGGAAUUUGCAGACAGCCUAGAGAACCCAGAUCCAGUUCAACUACUAUAUUUGCUGGAGAGCGGGACUGCAACUAAGGAUAUGGGUGAGGUCAAUGGCGUCACUGAGCAGACUCAGGUGGAGGACGUAGAAGCAGCAGCUGCAACCCAGCAAGGUGUCCAUGGUUUCCAAGCUGAAUCUCCCACGAGGUCUGCUCAAUCAACAGGCAGGGUGAAUCCACAGGCCCCCGGAUGGACGAAAAGGCUUCGGCUCGGAAGUGCACCACCUGACCGGGUGCCCUGCCCAUCGAGGAUGAGCGCAUUAGAAAUUUCAAUACGCAAGUAUGCAGAGCAACCUGAUAAGAGCGUCGUGAAACCAGAGCUGGGGCUUAGUUUUGAUUCGUUGGGUGAGGCGUAUGAUUUCUAUAACCUGUACUCAUGGGAAGUGGGUUUCGGGAUAAGAUAUGGAAAAAGCAGACUCAACGCCGAGAGGACAAAAACUAUGCAGGAAAUAGUGUGUGGUUGCUCGGGAAAACCGGAGACUGAAAACAGUCGAUCCUGUAGAUGUGAGUGCCCAGCUCUGAUCAGGCUCCUACGUGCUUCCGACAACAGCUGGUACAUCACAGAGCACCGGGCAAGUCAUAACCAUUCCAUGUCGCUGACAAUGGGAGAGAAAGUGCACUGGCCAUCUCAUAAGCACAUAGAUGUUUACACCAAAGACUUAAUAAAGCAACUGAGGGAAAACAAUGUAAAUCUUGGGAAAGUAUACAGCAUCAUUGGGAGCUUCUUUGGUUCUGUGGAAAAGGUCCCCUUCACGAAGAGGACGCUAAGGAAUAUCUGUGGCCAAAUUAGCUGUGAGCAAGCUGAAGACGACGUUAGGAAGACGCUUCAAGCGUUUGCUGACAUCCGAGCAAAUGACCCUGGGUUCUCCUAUGUGGUUUUGGCUGAGAAAGACAGCAAAGUUAAGAACCUGAUGUGGGCUACCGGCAGCAGCAGGAUGCAAUACAGAUUCUUUGGCGACGUUGUGACUUUUGACACUACCUACAGGACAAACUUAUAUGAUAUGCCGUUUGGGCUAUUUGUCGGAGUCAACAACCACUACCAGAGUAUUAUCUUUGCGGGGGUGCUGAUGCGUGACGAGCAGGAAGAAAGCUUUGAAUGGGUGUUUGAGGAAUUUGUACGUAUGAUGGGUGGACCUCCGCCAAAGACAAUACUUACAGACCAGUGCAGGGCGAUGGAGGUAGCAAUCAAGAAGAUAUAUCCUGACACGGUGCAUCGUUGGUGCAAAUGGCACGUUCUGAAGAAAGCGAAGGAGACACUAGGGCCCUUGUACACGAAGAAGAGUGAUUUUCAAGCUGAAUUCCACAAAGUUGUUAACCAUAUGCUGACGGAGGAGGAAUUUGAAACAGCGUGGGAGGCGCUGCUAGAUAAGUACAGCUUGAGGAGCCAUAGCUACAUGACCCAAAUAUAUGAGACUAGGCGGAAGUGGGAAAAACCUUAUUUCAGAGGAGUGUUCUGCGCAAAAAUGACAAGCACGCAAAGGAGUGAGAGUGCAAACCACAUGUUGAAGUCUUACAUGCCACCAGCAAGCCCAAUGCACGUGUUUGUCAGGCAAUACAUGAAGCUUCAGUUUGACCGCGAGCGCGACGAAAGCUACGAGGAAAAGAGGACAAUGAUAGGCGGUGCGGUGAGGCGGACUAAUCUCGCAAUAGAGCGACAUGCCAGCAAGGUGUACACCAGGAACAUGUUUGAGGAGUUCGGUCGUUUACUAAUGGAAGGAACUGCAUACAAUGUUACAGAGGUGGAAAGGAUGAGGAAAUACAGGACCACUCACAAUAAUGGAGCAAAAAGGGAAAAGUGGAGUAGGGUCGAGUACGAGGUGACCAUCAGCGAAGACAGGUCGAUAUUCAAUUGCGAGUGCGGGCAAUUUGAACACACAGGGAUGCUUUGCAGCCAUGUGUUGAGGGUUACGGAAAUUCUUCACCUUGAAGACAUUCCAAAACACCAUAUCCUAAAACGUUGGACCAGGGAUGCAAGGGAUAUACUCCCCGAUCACCUGGUGCAAUACCAAAAAGACAAUUCACAAAAUUUGUCAUUUACGUUUAGGCAUGCGACGCUGUACUUCAAAGCCAUGGAAGUUGUGAGGAUGGGGGACGCAAGCGCUGCAUGCUAUGAACACGUCAAUGCCAACCUGGAUUUGCUGCUUCAGAGUGCGGCGCCUCUAGCAGAGAAAAGGGAUGGCCUCGCUUUUGAGGACCGUGUGAUUUCAAAUGAAGAUGCCAGGCACUCUGCCAAUGGCGGCAACUCAUUAGCUAGUCUACAUGGUGAUCACUGCCAAAGUGCUACUAAUUCUGUCAGCACGAAUGCGUUACAGAGCCUCGCAGCACCGGAGAAAAGGAAGGGUCCAGGCAGGCCGACGAACAGCAGAGACAAGGCGCCAUAUGAAGGGCUUAGUAAGAGAACCCGGUUCUGCAGCCUGUGUCGGCGGGGAGGUCAUAAACGGACCACAUGCCCAGAUAGGGGUGAUGAGCCAAAGAAGCCGAGAAAACCAGGCAAAUGCAAAAACUGUGGUUUGGAAGGGCAUCGGCGUACUACAUGCAAAAGGCCGAUUGGGUUUGCUGAUAACUGA
rnacentral:rRNA from 1 species